rnacentral:lncRNA from 1 species
GGAAACAUAGUCUGAUUAUUACAGAGAUUAAUUCAAGUUCCAAUAGGGAAGCAAAGGGCAAAGGACAAACAGCUACAACAGCUAGCUGCAUAAGCCAUCAUUUCCACCCAAACAUUACUAAUUAGCUUCCAUUUUUCACCUUUGUCAUCUGAUAAUUUUCGCAACUGUGAUGCAAGCCUGCACGCGUCGAAUAGCACCGGUUUGCUUCUGUCGCCUUUUACUUUGACUGGUGGGACUACUGUGUUCACAUUGAGCGACACCUCGCAUGCCUUUUUUUCAUCUAGCCUAGACGUCCCUUUGCUGAAAGGAUUGAUUGUCAAAAGCCAGGAAUUCUGAGACCUGCGAUUGGAAGUUUGGAUAUCACCUCAAAGAUCAGUAUCAAGAUAUCUGAUCUUUCCAAUCCCCAUUGGCAACAUGAAAGGACGCAUGACUAAGAGAUACAGCGUAUAGUGUGAUAGCUGCCUGCUUAUUUUAC